rnacentral:rRNA from 1 species
AUUGAACGCUGGCGGCAGGCCUAACACAUGCAAGUCGAACGGUAACAGGAGGGCUCUUGCUUCUUUGCUGGCGGGUGGCGGGCGGGUGAGUCAUGUCAGCGAGACUUCCUGAUGGGGGGGGCUACUCCAGGGAACGGUUGCUACUACCGCCUAACUACGCAUGACCAAAGAGGAGGACCUUAGGGCCUCUUGCCAUCGUAUGUGACCAGAGGGGAUUAGCUAGUAGGUGGGGUAACGGCUCACCUAGGCGACGAUCCCUAGCUGGUCUGAGAGGAUGACCAGCCACACUGGAACUGAGACACGGUCCAGACUCCUACGGGAGGCAGCAGUGGGGAAUAUUGCACAAUGGGCGAAAGCCUGAUGCAGCCAUGCCGCGUGUAUGAAGAAGGCCUUCGGGUUGUAAAGUACUUUCAGCGGGGAGGAAGGGAGUAAAGUUAAUACCUUCGCGCAUUGACGUUACCCGAAGAAGAAGCACCGGCUAACUCCGUG